GCAUAUCAAUAAGCGGAGGAAAAGAAACCAACAGGGAUUGCCCUAGUAACGGCGAGUGAAGCGGCAACAGCUCAAAUUUGAAAUCUGGCUCUCUUUGGGGGUCCGAGUUGUAAUUUGCAGAGGAUGCUUUGGCAUUGGCGGCGGUCUAAGUUCCUUGGAACAGGACAUCACAGAGGGUGAGAAUCCCGUACGUGGUCGCCUGCCUUUGCCGUGUAAAGCUCCUUCGACGAGUCGAGUUGUUUGGGAAUGCAGCUCUAAAUGGGAGGUAAAUUUCUUCUAAAGCUAAAUACCGGCCAGAGACCGAUAGCGCACAAGUAGAGUGAUCGAAAGAUGAAAAGUACUUUGGAAAGAGAGUCAAAAAGCACGUGAAAUUGUUGAAAGGGAAGCGCUUGCAGCCAGACUUGCCCGCAGUUGCUCACCUAGGCUUUGGCCUGGGGCACUCUUCUGCGGGCAGGCCAGCAUCAGUUUGGGCGGUUGGAUAAAGGCCUCUGUCACGUAUCUUCCUUCGGGAUGACCUUAUAGGGGAGGCGUAAUGCAACCAGCCCGGACUGAGGUCCGCGCAUCUGCUAGGAUGCUGGCGUAAUGGCUGUAAGCGGCCCGUCUUGAAACACGGACCAAGGAGUCUAACAUCUAUGCGAGUGUUUGGGUGUCAAGCCCGGGCGCGCAAUGAAAGUGAACGGAGGUGGGAACCCUUUGGGUGCACCAUCGACCGAUCCUGAUGUCUUCGGAUGGAUUUGAGUAAGAGCAUAGCUGUUGGGACCCGAAAGAUGGUGAACUAUGCUUGAAUAGGGUGAAGCCAGAGGAAACUCUGGUGGAGGCUCGCAGCGGUUCUGACGUGCAAAUCGAUCGUCAAAUUUGGGCAUAGGGGCGAAAGACUAAUCGAACCAUCUAGUA
rnacentral:rRNA from 1 species